GAACUAUAGAAUAAGAGAGCAUAUCCGCUGAAUUUAAGCAUAUAAUUAAGCGGAAGAAAAGAAAAUAACAAUGAUUCCUUUAGUAACGGCGAGUGAACAAGGAAAAGCUCAAAAGGAAAAUCCGCGCGUGGCGAAAACUACGGUGUGGAAUUGUCUGGUUGGGGUUUAAUAUUCUCCCUAUGCUUUGUUAGGUUACGAAAUUAGUAGGAAUACUAUUCCAUAGAGGGUGAAAGGCCCGUAGUUCCCUACAAUUAUAGAUGGAGUAUUCCCUGUAGAGUUGUGUUCUUUGAGAUUGGAGCACGAAUAUGUGUGAUACAUUUCACAUAAAGCUAAAUAUUUGUAGGAAACCGAUAGUAAACAAGUACCGUGAGGGAAAGAUGAAAUAGCACUUAGGAAUGAGGUUUAAACAAUACCUGAAAUCGUUAAGGUGGAACGGAUUGAGAGAGAAAUAACGUAAGAUUAAUAAUAUUUAUUUUUUCUCGACGGAGGAUUUAAAUAUUCAUAUCUUAUUAAAGAAGCAUCAGUGAACUUUUGGAUCAUUAAAACAUGGUUUCGUUCUUUACAAUCAUAAUGUGUUUUCUAAAGAUUUCGUAUCACUCUGCUGAUGGUUACAUACGAGCCAUUGCGAUGUAUCUAGUUUACUGAGGCGUAAUAUAAUAAGUUGGUGUGACGCCCAUACUUGUUUAAGUUGCUUCUAAAAAGCACUUUCUCAACCCACCCGUCUUGAAACACGGACCAAGGAGUCUAACAAAUGUGCAAGCGUAUAUAUGUUUUUAACUAUACAAUAAAGAAAUUAUACUUUAUAAUUACGCGUAAUUAAUGUGACCAUUCUGGCUUAAAAACGGGUGUAGAUUAUACUGAAAUUGAAUUAUUUAUUUUUCACUUGAAGUAUAUGCAUACAAUACCAGUUAGCAAUUAUGCUUAAUUGAGUAUGAGUAUAUUUGUUAGGACCCGAGAGGCUUUGAACUAAGCGUGGUGAGAUUGAAGUCAGACGAAAGUCUGAUGGAGGAUCGAAUUGAUACUGACGUGCAAAUCGUUCAUUUCAAUCACGUUUAGGGGCGAAAGACUAAUCGAAAAGCCUAUUAGCUGGUUAUUUUCGAAAGAUCUCUCAGGAUCGCUGGAGUUGAUUAAUAUAGUUUUACGAGGUAGAGAUAAUGAUUAGAGGACUCAGGGAAAGCGUUUCCUUGACCUAUUCUCAAACUCCCAAUACGUAAUAAGGGAAUUAUAUCUUAACUGCAUUUUUUCCAUUAUAAAUAAAAUAACUCCAAGUGGGCCAUUUUUGGUAAGCAGAACUGGCGAUGAGGGAUGCUCCUAACGCUUGGAUAAGGUGCCUAAAUAUUCGUUCAUAGAUACCAUAAAAGGUGUUGUUUUAUAAUGACAGUAGGACGGUU
rnacentral:ncRNA from 1 species